UAAUACAGAGGGUGCAAGCGUUAAUCGGAAUUACUGGGCGUAAAGGGCGCGUAGGCGGUUAGGUAAGUCGGAUGUGAAAUCCCCGGGCUCAACCUGGGAAUUGCAUUCGAUACUGCUUAGCUAGAGUGUGGAAGAGGGAAGCGGAAUUUCCGGUGUAGCGGUGAAAUGCGUAGAUAUCGGAAGGAACACCAGUGGCGAAGGCGGCUUCCUGGUCCAACACUGACGCUGAGGCGCGAAAGCGUGGGGAGCGAACAGG
rnacentral:rRNA from 1 species